rnacentral:rRNA from 1 species
GAUAGGAGCUUGCUCCUUUGACGUUAGCGGCGGACGGGUGAGUAACACGUGGGUAACCUACCUAUAAGACUGGAAUAACUCCGGGAAACCGGGGCUAAUGCCGGAUAACAUAUAGAACCGCAUGGUUCUAUAGUGAAAGAUGGUUUUGCUAUCACUUAUAGAUGGACCCGCGCCGUAUUAGCUAGUUGGUAAGGUAACGGCUUACCAAGGCGACGAUACGUAGCCGACCUGAGAGGGUGAUCGGCCACACUGGAACUGAGACACGGUCCAGACUCCUACGGGAGGCAGCAGUAGGGAAUCUUCCGCAAUGGGCGAAAGCCUGACGGAGCAACGCCGCGUGAGUGAUGAAGGGUUUCGGCUCGUAAAACUCUGUUAUUAGGGAAGAACAUAUGUGUAAGUAACUGUGCACAUCUUGACGGUACCUAAUCAGAAAGCCACGGCUAACUACGUGCCAGCAGCCGCGGUAAUACGUAGGUGGCAAGCGUUAUCCGGAAUUAUUGGGCGUAAAGCGCGCGUAGGCGGUUUCUUAAGUCUGAUGUGAAAGCCCACGGCUCAACCGUGGAGGGUCAUUGGAAACUGGGAAACUUGAGUGCAGAAGAGGAAAGUGGA